CUCUGCCUCUCGUACUUCGCGUGCCACAGCUGGGAGGCGCGUGAGAACAGAGGAGAGCAGCGCACGCUUGUUCCGCGUGGCGAUGAGAAACGAAACAAAACACGUCUGGGAUUAAAGAGCGCACAAACGGGACGGGACGUUACGUUGAGCGAUGGAGAGUCGGGUCGCGCGCCGCUGUAAGAUCGUAGUGGUCGGAGACUCGCGCUGCGGGAAAACAGCUCUGCUCCACGUGUUCGCUAAGGACUCGUAUCCAGAGGUGAGGACACACACACUCUCACACACAUACACUCUCUCACACACACACUCGCACUCACACUCACAAGCAUCAGCAUCAAUAGUAUAAUUGUUGCUGUAGACAGGAAGAGAUAGAGACAAAGUGACAGUGUGUGUGUGUGUGUGUGUGUGUGUGUGUGAGAGAGAGAGAGAGAGAGAGAGAGAGAGAGAGAGAAG
ensembl:lncRNA